AGAAAUGAGUCUGCCCUUCAGGGAUAAAGAGUCCCAGGAGCCCUGCCCCCCAUCCAGUUUCUAGGGAGCCUGAACAGAGGAGAGGGGAACAUGCUGGGUUGAGGACAAGGAGCUGGAGGGAGGCCUGGAGUCCUGGCCUUGGCCCAGCUGAGGAAAGGCCAUUCCCAAAGAGCCCCCAUUCUGCUUCGGGUGGACGGGCAAACCUGAGCGGGCUCUGAGCGGGCCACGAGCGGUAGGGCGCGUGCCGGAGAGCAGAAGGCAGAUAGCUUCCAGCCCGGGGUCAACAUCUUGUAUACAUUUCCUCAGAUCUGACGCUCACCCUGCCGGCCAGGACCUCGGGUACCUCCCUAAACCUUCCUGCUUGAACUGGCUGGACCGUGACCACCUCAUCUGUCAUGUUCCCCUUAUCCUUCCAGUUCGGACUUGACCCAGGGCCCUUGAUCCAAACUGUGAUCACUGCCUAGUCCAUUCUGCCUGCUGGGGACCUUGACCUCAACUAUCCACGACUUGCGGCUGCUACCCUGACCCAAGUGGGACCUGAAGCUCCUGGGUGCACGAGCUUAACCGCUCACCUGCAUCACAGAACAUCUUUGUCUUUAAGCUCCCACAGAACAGAGUCUCCUGUCUCCCAUCAGCUUACUGCAGACACUCAGUGUUUGCAUUAUCCUGCCUUGAUCCACCUGCCUGGCCGUUCUGACUCCUCCACUCAAAGUGAGAGAGCUCUAGGAGGAGGCAACGUCAAGGCCACAGGGAGGAAGAACAGCGCUACGGAAAAUAAGGGCUGUGCCGAGCAUUCAGCAAGCCGUACCGCGUGAUGCACCAGCCUGGUGUCUGGGACAUCAAGUGCUCAACACGUAGGGGCUGUGAAGAUGAGGACACUGAUAAAGAUAUCCCCCCGUUUUGAAGGGCCUCUGGACGUUAUGAGUCCGGCUACCGGAGGAAAACGAAUACCGACCACCAUGCCAUGGGACCCACUUUGGGAAUUGCUGGUCAGAGUUACUUCUCUCAUGAACAGAUAAGGAAGCUAAAGGCUUAGAAAGGAUGUGGGCCCUUGCUCAAGGUCACGUGGCAAAUUCCCGGCAGAGACAGGGCUGGAAGCCAGACCCCCUCCUGACGGUAAUGCUCUCUCCACUCACUCAGCAGGAAGUCGCCCCUGACCACCGACCACGGUGAGUUCUCUGUCCAGACGCUGCCUCCCAGACAGGCCGCCCGCCCCCUCCUCCCUUCUCCAUCCUCUGGAGGAGCGCAGGGAGCACAGCGGCGUGUUCUCCGUCUCCCAC